UCCUACGGGAGGCAGCAGUGGGGAAUAUUGCGCAAUGGGGGGAACCCUGACGCAGCCAUGCCGCGUGAAUGAAGAAGGCCUUCGGGUUGUAAAGUUCUUUCGGUAAUGAGGAAGGGAUGUUGUUAAAUAGAUAGCAUCAUUGACGUUAAUUACAGAAGAAGCACCGGCUAACUCCGUGCCAGCAGCCGCGGUAAUACGGAGGGUGCGAGCGUUAAUCGGAAUAACUGGGCGUAAAGGGCACGCAGGCGGACUUUUAAGUGAGAUGUGAAAUCCCCGAGCUUAACUUGGGAACUGCAUUUCAGACUGGGAGUCUAGAGUACUUUAGGGAGGGGUAGAAUUCCACGCGUAGCGGUGAAAUGCGCAGAGAUGUGGAGGAAUACCGAAGGCGAAGGCAGCCCCUUGGGAAUGUACUGACGCUCAUGUGCGAAAGCGUGGGGAGCAAACAGGAUUAGAUACCCUGGUAGUCC
rnacentral:rRNA from 1 species